rnacentral:rRNA from 1 species
CCUACGGGAGACAGCAGUGGGGGAUAUUGCACAAUGGGGGAAACCCUGAUGCAGCGACGCCGCGUGUGGGAAGACGGUCCUCUGGUUUGUAAACCACUGUCCCCAGGGACGAAGAUGACGGUACCUGAGAAGGAAGCUCCGGCUAACUCCGUGCCAGCAGCCGCGGUAAUACGUAGGGAGCGAGCGUUUUCCGGAAUUACUGGGUGUAAAGGGAGCGUAGGCGGGGAUGCAAGUUGGGGGUCAAAACUACCGGCUCAACUGGUAGUCGCACUCAAAACUGCAGCUCUUGAGUGAAGGAGAGGCAGGCGGAAUUCCUAGUGUAGCGGUGAAAUGCGUAGAUAUCAGGAGGAACACCAGUGGCGAAGGCGGCCUGCUGGGCUUUUACUGACGCUGAGGCUCGAAAGCGUGGGGAGCAAACAGGAUUAGAUACCCUAGUAGUC